rnacentral:rRNA from 1 species
AGACGGGACCCGCACAAGCGGUGGAUGAUGUGGAUUAAUCGAUGCAACGCGAAAAACCUUUACCUACCCUUGACAUGUCCAGAAUCCUGCAGAGAUGCGGGAGUGCCCGAAAGGGAAUUGGAACACAGGUGCUGCAUGGCUGUCGUCAGCUCGUGUCGUGAGAUGUUGGGUUAAGUCCCGCAACGAGCGCAACCCUUAUCAUUAGUUGCUACGCAAGGGCACUCUAAUGAGACUGCCGGUGACAAACCGGAGGAAGGUGGGGAUGACGUCAAGUCCUCAUGGCCCUUAUGGGUAGGGCUUCACACGUCAUACAAUGGUCGGUACAGAGGGUUGCCAAGCCGCGAGGUGGAGCCAAUCCCAGAAAGCCGAUCGUAGUCCGGAUUGUUCUCUGCAACUCGAGAGCAUGAAGUCGGAAUCGCUAGUAAUCGCGGAUCAGCAUGUCGCGGUGAAUACGUUCCCGGGUCUU